rnacentral:rRNA from 1 species
AUUGAACGCUGGCGGCAUGCUUUACACAUGCAAGUCGAACGGUAACAGGCCUUCGGGUGCUGACGAGUGGGGAACGGGCGAGUAAUGCAUCGGAACGUACACAGAGGUGGGGGAUAACGAAGCGAAAGCUGUGCUAAUACCGAAUGUGAUCUGAGGAUGAAAGCAGGGGACCGAGCAGCAAUGUUUGGCCUCGCGCCUUUGGAGCGGCCGAUGUCGGAUUAGCUAGUUGGUGGGGUAAAGGCCUACCAAGGCGACGAUCAGUAGCUGGUCUGAGAGGACGACCAGCCACACUGGGACUGAGACACGGCCCAGACUCCUACGGGAGGCAGCAGUGGGGAAUUUUGGACAAUGGGCGCAAGCCUGAUCCAGCAAUGCCGCGUGCGGGAAGAAGGCCUUCGGGUUGUAAACCGCUUUUGGCAGGAACGAAACGGUGUCCGCUAAUACCGGGCGCUAAUGACGGUACCUGCAGAAUAAGCACCGGCUAACUACGUG